rnacentral:rRNA from 1 species
GACGAACGCUGGCGGCGUGCUUAACACAUGCAAGUCGAACGGAAAGGCCCUGCUUUUGUGGGGUGCUCGAGUGGCGAACGGGUGAGUAACACGUGAGUAACCUGCCCUUGACUUUGGGAUAACUUCAGGAAACUGGGGCUAAUACCGGAUAGGAGCUCCUGCUGCAUGGUGGGGGUUGGAAAGUUUCGGCGGUUGGGGAUGGACUCGCGGCUUAUCAGCUUGUUGGUGGGGUAGUGGCUUACCAAGGCUUUGACGGGUAGCCGGCCUGUGCGGGUGGCCGGCCACAUUGGGACUGAGAUACGGACCAGAGUCCUACGGGAGGCAGCAGUGGGGAAUAUUGCACAAUGGGCGGAAGCCUGAUGCAGCAACGCCGCGUGCGGGAUGACGGCCUUCGGGUUGUAAACCGCUUUCGCCUGUGACGAAGCGUGAGUGACGGUAAUGGGUAAAGAAGCACCGGCUAACUACGUG